rnacentral:misc_RNA from 1 species
UGAGAACACCACGGACACCAG